rnacentral:rRNA from 1 species
CCUACGGGUGGCAGCAGUAAGGAAUAUUGGUCAAUGGGCGCAAGCCUGAACCAGCCAUGCCGCGUGCAGGAGGAAGGCCUAUGGGUUGUAAACUGCUUUUAUCUGGGGAUAGGUACCAGAUGAAUAAGGAUCGGCUAACUCCGUGCCAGCAGCCGCGGUAAUACGGAGGAUCCGAGCGUUAUCCGGAUUUAUUGGGUUUAAAGGGUGCGUAGGCGGCGCAUUAAGUCAGUGGUGAAAGGUAACCGCUUAACGGGGACACUGCCAUUGAUACUGAUGUGCUGGAGUACAGAUGAAGUGGGCGGAAUGUGUCAAGUAGCGGUGAAAUGCAUAGAUAUGACACAGAACACCAAUUGCGAAGGCAGCUCACUAAAGUGUACUGACGCUGAGGCACGAAAGCGUGGGGAUCGAACAGGAUUAGAUACCCUUGUAGUC